rnacentral:rRNA from 1 species
CACGUAGGGCGCAAGCGUUGUCCGGAAUUAUUGGGCGUAAAGAGCUCGUAGGCGGUCUGUUGCGUCUGCUGUGAAAACCCGGGGCUUAACCCCUGGCUUGCAGUGGAUACGGACAGACUAGAGGUAGGUAGGGGAGAAUGGAAUUCCCGGUGUAGCGGUGAAAUGCGCAGAUAUCUGGAGGAACACCGGUGGCGAAGGCGGCAUCCUGGACCGAGAUUGACGCUGAUGCGCGAAAGCCAGGGGAGCAAACGGG